AUUGAACGCUGGCGGCAGGCUUAACACAUGCAAGUCGAGCGGGGUGAUGGUGCUUGCACUAUCACUUAGCGGCGGACGGGUGAGUAAUGCUUAGGAAUCUGCCUAUUAGUGGGGGACAACAUCUCGAAAGGGAUGCUAAUACCGCAUACGUCCUACGGGAGAAAGCAGGGGAUCACUUGUGACCUUGCGCUAAUAGAUGAGCCUAAGUCGGAUUAGCUAGUUGGUGGGGUAAAGGCCUACCAAGGCGACGAUCUGUAGCGGGUCUGAGAGGAUGGUCCGCAACACUGGGACUGGGGCACGGCCCAGAUUCCUACGGGAGGCAGCAGUGGGGAAUAUUGGACAAUGGGGGGAACCCUGAUCCAGCCAUGCCGCGUGUGUGAAGAAGGCCUUAUGGUUGUAAAGCACUUUAAGCGAGGAGGAGGCUCUUUUGGUUAAUACCCAAGAUGAGUGGACGUUACUCGCAGAAUAAGCACCGGCUAACUCUGUGCCAGCCGCCGCCGUAA
rnacentral:rRNA from 1 species